rnacentral:rRNA from 1 species
GGAAUUGUUCGCAAUGGGCGCAAGCCUGACGACGCAAUGCCGCGUGGAGGAUGAAGAAUUUCGGUUCGUAAACUCCUUUCGACCGCGAAGAAUGCCUGCCGACACAAUACGUCGGCAGGGUGACAGUAUCGAGGGAAGAAGCCCCGGCUAACUCCGUGCCCGCAGCCGCGGUAAUACGGGGGGGGCGAGCGUUGUUCGGAAUGACUGGGCGUAAAGGGUUCGUAGGUGGCCUUCUAAGUCGGAUGUGAAAUCCCUCGGCUCGACUGAGGAACUGCAUCUGAUACUGGAAGGCUUGAGUGCAGGAGAGGAACGCGGAAUUCCAGGUGUAGCGGUGAAAUGCGUAGAUAUCUGGAGGAACACCGGUGGCGAAGGCGGCGUUCUGGACUGCAACUGACACUGAGGAACGAAAGCCAGGGGAGCA